rnacentral:rRNA from 1 species
GGGUUGUGAGGUUAAGCGACUAAGCGUACACGGUGGAUGCCCUGGCAGUCAGAGGCGAUGAAGGACGUGCUAAUCUGCGAUAAGCGCCGGUAAGGUGAUAUGAACCGUUAUAACCGGCGAUUUCCGAAUGGGGAAACCCAGUGUGAUCCGUCACACUAUCGUUACGUGAAUACAUAGCGUAAUGAAGCGAACCGGGGGAACUGAAACAUCUAAGUACCCCGAGGAAAAGAAAUCAACCGAGAUUCCCCCAGUAGCGGCGAGCGAACGGGGAGCAGCCCAGAGUCUGAAUCAGCAUGUGUGUUAGUGGAACGGUCUGGAAAGUCCGACGGUACAGGGUGAUAGUCCCGUACACAAAAAUGCACAUGUUGUGAACUCGAAGAGUAGGGCGGGACACGUGGUAUCCUGUCUGAAUAUGGGGGGACCAUCCUCCAAGGCUAAAUACUCCUGACUGACCGAUAGUGAACCAGUACCGUGAGGGAAAGGCGAAAAGAACCCCGGCGAGGGGAGUGAAAAAGAACCUGAAACCGUGUACGUACAAGCAGU